UCAAAACAAGGCAGAGGAGGAGGGGGAAGAAAGCCGGAUCCUUGCUUUUACUUUCCCUGACUGCAGCGAGAGGGGGAAUUUACCCUGAAUAGAUCAGAAACAGACAAGGAGGUGAUGAUCAAAGAUGGCUGCGGUUCCUAAAGCAGCUCUCCUAGAGCUCGCUGAGAGAAGUAUAUUGCAAUGUUUACCUAUUGGGGGGAGAGAGGGAAAGGGGUUCAUUUCAAAAGCUGUGUAACUUGUAGUCUCCUACCUGUUUUCUCUUUGAUUUCACAGAGGACACUGAACAAAGCAGGCUUCAUUCUGUGGCAGUUCAGUGCAUGCUUUCUGCAAAAUAAAAGAUUUUUUAAAAGGUA